AGACCCCAUGGAGCUUUAAACCCAACAGCACCCGCUUACUUUAUACCCAAUUAUAUGCCCGUUGCCUGUCUGCUCGGUUUUAGGUUGGGGUGACCACGGAGUACAAAAUAACCUCCAUGAAAAAGGGGAUAAAUACCCUUAUUAGAGAACAACACUUCCAAAAACUAACAAAUUAAUUUCUAAUGAUCCGACAUUCGAUCAACGAACCAAGUUACCCUGGGGAUAACAGCGCAAUCCACCCCGAGAGCUCCUAUCGACAGGUGGGUUUACGACCUCGAUGUUGGAUCAGGGUAUCCCAGUGGUGCAGCAGCUACCAACGGUUCGUUUGUUCAACGAUUAAAACCCU
rnacentral:rRNA from 1 species